CCUAGCCUUGGAGUGGGAAUAACAGCUGGAAACAGCUGCUAAUACCGCAUGAAGCAGUUGAGUCGCAUGGCUCUGACUGCCAAAGAUUUAUCGCUCUGAGAUGGACUCGCGUCUGAUUAGCUAGUUGGCGGGGCAAUGGCCCACCAAGGCGACGAUCAGUAGCCGGACUGAGAGGUUGGCCGGCCACAUUGGGACUGAGACACGGCCCAGACUCCUACGGAAGGCAGCAG
rnacentral:rRNA from 1 species